UCAGAGGUAGUCUAAUGGUAGGAUUCCUGACUAUCCAAGCAGGAGAUCCAGGUUCAAUUCCUGGCCUCUGAC
rnacentral:tRNA from 1 species